UACGGAGGUGGCAAGCGUUACUCGGAAUUAUUGGGUGUAAAGGGCAAGUAGGCGGCUUAAUAAGUGGGGGGUGAAAUACUCCGGCUCAAUCGGAGAACAGCCUUCCAAACUGUUAAGCUUGAGUAUGACAGAGGAAAAUGGAAUUCUUGGUGUAAGGGUGAAAUCUGUAGAUAUCAAGAAGAACACCAGCUGCGAAGGCGAUUUUCUGGGUCAUUACUGACGCUAAAUUGCGAAAGCUAGGGGAGCAAACAGA
rnacentral:rRNA from 1 species